GUGGGGAAUAUUGGACAAUGGGCGCAAGCCUGAUCCAGCCAUGCCGCGUGAGUGAUGAAGGCCCUAGGGUUGUAAAGCUCUUUCACCGGAGAAGAUAAUGACGGUAUCCGGAGAAGAAGCCCCGGCUAACUUCGUGCCAGCAGCCGCGGUAAUACGAAGGGGGCUAGCGUUGUUCGGAAUUACUGGGCGUAAAGCGCACGUAGGCGGACAUUUAAGUCAGGGGUGAAAUCCCGGGGCUACACCCCGGAACUGCCUUUGAUACUGUGUGUCUGGAGUAUGGAAGAGGUAAGUGGAAUUCCGAGUGUAGAGGUGAAAUUCGUAGAUAUUCGGAGGAACACCAGUGUCGAAGGCGGCUCACUGGUCCAUUACUGACGCUGAGGUGCGAAAGCGUGGGGAGCAAACAGGAUUAGAAACCCGAGUAGUCC
rnacentral:rRNA from 1 species